rnacentral:misc_RNA from 1 species
CUCUGCUAAAGAUCACGGGAGUAAAAUGUCACCCGGGAGAGGAAAUAUGUGCAAGAACCACUGCAGCAUUCCAAUAUUGCAUCUGUGCCAUAGACCGAAAAGGCAAAAUGUCAUAGAGAGACCAUCAAGUUGCGCAAGUACCAUAAAAAUAUCUCCAUGUUGCAUUUCUAUCAGAUAUCACAAUGGCAAUAUGUCAUAUAGGAGAGAGAGAAACUGUAUA